AAAUUCAUGUGCACAAGUCUAGAGUAGAUUUAGCUGGGUCUGAUUUGUGAAGUUUUUAUCAGUUUACAUUGCUUAGUGUGUGUGGUUUUAUGUACUUGUACCAGAACAAUGUCAUUCAUGAAGAAGAUGGUAUUCCUCCAACAUUUAAUGGCUUCUGUGUAUUUCUUUACAUUUUGUACGUCGGAGUUUGAGCAAUUCCUGACCCUGAUAUAAUAAGGUUGUUUUUAUACGUUUUUCUUAUAACACUUCCAUUGUGUGAUUUCUUGUUCUUUUGCCUACACACGAUUUGGUGCUUGUUGCUUUCUGAUUUUGUUACCAUGUACAUGCAGAUUUUUAGUCACAAAAUAUGUGAUGUAAAUUUAAUCUCAAAGAUGCCAUGUUUUUUUUAAUCUCACAAAUAAUUGAUGUAGUUUUUUUAGUCUCAGAGUUGAGAUGUAAUUUUUGUCUCAGAGAUGCCAUGUUAUUUUAGAACUGUAUUCAAGAUGUUUACAAUCAUUUUGUCAGAAAUCUGAAGAGUUCAGACUUGCCCUGUGUGUUGUGAAAAGAGACAAUAUCCACACUGUAUUCUGACUAUGUAGUCUUGUGUUGAAACCAUUGCUAUGUGUGUCUAAUAUGUGUGAUGCUAUCAAGUACAAUUUCUUGUAAGUAUAAUAAGAUGGAGUCUUAUUCUAACAACAGUACUUCAAGUAUAUAGAAGGUUAUUGGUAUUUUUGCCGGAGUUAUUUUCAACAAAUUACACCUGUCAAAGAUUUGUCAAGUUUUAAAUAUCAAGUAAUUGUUCAUAGACUUGUAUCGUCAUUUAAAUUAGCCCAUCUUAAAUUAGCUUUUUGUCUUGGAAGCAACAUUAACUUUGAAAGGGGUGGGGAUUCCCCUGCUUACAAUAACUGGUUAUGUACACAGCUUUCAUUGCAGGAGUUUGUGAAAAGUUCUUAUAGCUUUGUAUUCUGUGAGGAUGAACUCGAAUCAGUGUCUUUGUAAUCAUUGCUGUAAAAAGCUUUGUAUUCAGUAGUCAGAUCUUGACCACUUUUAAUAAAGUUGGCUGUCUCAUGUAAACCAUGACAUUUUGAUAUGUACUUGUAUGAUAACUGAUGUUUACAGUAAAUCUGUUAUAAUCUUUAUCUCUAUGUACUGCUUAUUGAUCUUAUAUACAUAGCAUGCCAUGUGUCACUGUCUGUGGUUUUCUUACAUCUGUAAGACAGAAUUUAUUUUGUUGGAUUUGUCAGUUUGAUGUAGAGACCAAAAACAGCCAGGUUGUAAACAAACAGCUACAAUCAAUAAACACUUGCCAAAC
rnacentral:sRNA from 1 species